AACGAACGCUGGCGGCAUGCCUAACACAUGCAAGUCGAGCGCCCGUAGCAAUACGGGAGCGGCGCACGGGUGAGUAGCGCGUGGGAACCUGCCCAGAGGUUCGGGACAACCGCGGGAAACUGCGGCUGAUACCGGAUGAUGCCUGAGGGCCAAAGAUUUAUCGCCUUUGGAGGGGCCCGCGUCGGAUUAGGUAGUUGGCGAGGUAACGGCUCACCAAGCCUGUGAUCCGUAGCUGGUCUGAGAGGAUGAUCAGCCACACUGGGACUGAGACACGGCCCAGACUCCUACGGGAGGCAGCAGUGGGGAGUAUUGGACAAUGGGGGCAACCCUGAUCCAGCAAUGCCGCGUGGGUGAUGAAGGCCUU
rnacentral:rRNA from 1 species